rnacentral:rRNA from 1 species
GAUGAACGCUGGCGGCGUGCCUAAUACAUGCAAGUCGAGCGAACGGACGAGAAGCUUGCUUCUCUGAUGUUAGCGGCGGACGGGUGAGUAACACGUGGAUAACCUACCUAUAAGACUGGGAUAACUUCGGGAAACCGGAGCUAAUACCGGAUAAUAUUUUGAACCGCAUGGUUCAAAAGUAAAAGACGGUCUUGCUGUCACUUAUAGAUGGAUCCGCGCUGCAUUAGCUAGUUGGUAAGGUAACGGCUUACCAAGGCAACGAUGCAUAGCCGACCUGAGAGGGUGAUCGGCCACACUGGAAGUGAGACACGGUCCAGACUCCUACGGGAGGGAGCAGUAGGGAAUCUUCCGCAAUGGGCGAAAGCCUGACGGAGCAACGCCGCGUGAGUGAUGAAGGUCUUCGGAUCGUAAAACUCUGUUAUUAGGGAAGAACAUAUGUGUAAGUAACUGUGCACAUCUUGACGGUACCUAAUCAGAAAGCCACGGCUAACUACGUG